rnacentral:rRNA from 1 species
CUACGGGCUGCUCCAGUGGGGAAUAUUGCACAAUGGAGGAAACUCUGAUGCAGCAACGCCGCGUGGAGGAUGACACUUUUCGGAGCGUAAACUCCUUUUAUAUAGGAAGAAGAUGACGGUACUAUAUGAAUAAGCGCCGGCUAACUCCGUGCCAGCAGCCGCGGUAAUACGGAGGGCGCAAGCGUUACUCGGAAUCACUGGGCGUAAAGAGAGUGUAGGCGGAUUAAAAAGUCAGAAGUGAAAUCCUAUAGCUUAACUAUAGAACUGCUUCUGAAACUCUUAAUCUAGAAUAUGGGAGAGGUAGAUGGAAUUUCUGGUGUAGUAGUAAACUCCGUAGAGAUCAGAAGGAAUACCGAUUGCGAAGGCGAUCUACUAGAACAUUAUUGACGCUGAGACGCGAAAGCGUGGGGAGCAAACAGGAUUAGAUACCCGUGUAGUC